GUCUGGAAGGGAAGAUCCUGCCACAAGUGUAGAUUUUAGGACAUUCAUUCACUUAGGCCAAACUCUAACUAGUCUCAAACAUUUUCCAAAGGAAUGGAACCAUUGCAUUUGACUCGUCCAUUUUUUUAAUUCCUUAAUAUUUACUAGCCGUUGGCAAGUCCCUCUUUCUAAUAUAAGCAUUUGAAAACAUUCCAUAUAGUUCCAGAAGAGUAUCUUUGGAAAUCAAAACAAUAUGAAUAAUUAAAAUAGUAAGUGGAAAGAAAAAAGAAAACCUAUUUGAGUCAAACAUGUUUGAAUUUCUUUUUUAUUCAGACCUAUUACCAAAACUAACCUGGGUGCAUUUAACAAUUUGAAGUUUCCUCAUUUUCUUUAGCCCAUUAGAGGAAGCACUAAUGAGAUACGAAAUAAUUAGAAGAUAAAAAGCAGUAUCAUUUGGUCAGCAAGGCCAUCCAUUGAAUAAAUGAAAGCAUUUAGCUUUUUUAAAUAAGUGCUUAUUUAUGACUGUAUUUUAAAACAUAAAGAGAAGCUAUCUCGAAAGUUAUUAAAUAAGCAUUAUAUCACCCUGUCUUACUCAGUGUAUAAAAUUAGCACUGUAGUUAAAAGAAGGUAAAAUAGAUCUUGAUUCCAAAGAUACAGUAUUACAGUGACAUCAGUAUAUCUGAAUAUUCUUACAUUUAAUUGCAGAAGAAAAUAGCAACAUUUUUAAAGCAAAAUAAUGUCUUUAUAUUUAUAGCAAAUGUCAAAUUUAUUUUCAAAUGUUUUUUUCUCCAAUAUUGAUGAGGGCCCUAGUCCUCCAGAGCAGUUUAUGGCUGUCAAAUUAUCUGAUUCCAGAAUCACCCUGAAAUCUGGCUAUGGAAAAUAUCUUGGUAUAAAUUCAGAUGAACUUGUUGUUGGGCAUUCAGAUGCAAUUGGACCAAGAGAACAAUGGGAACCAGUCUUUCAAAACCUAAGUGCUGUUAUUGUUUAUAAAAACUUCCUGUCAGUUUCACACAAAGUCUGUAACAGUCAAUCAUAAUAUAUUUAAAAAGAAAAAGUAGGAUGCAAUAGUGUAAUACAUUAAAUUGGAAUAAACCAGCAAGAACAUAGAGCCUUAAAGAGAUCUCAAAAUACAGUGCAACAAAAAUCGCAUUAGUACUUUUGCCCACAAUUAUUUCUCUAUACCCUUAGUGCCUAGAUAUGGAUCUCAUUUCCAUUAAAGAACCAGUCAAUUUUAGGUCACAGAGUAGGAAAACAGAAUAGUUCAUAAGUAUCUUCUUUGUAGCAGAAAUCAUGCAUGCUUUCAGAAACAUUACAGACUGCAAGCAAACAGUGGAGCUAGCUAAGACCAAGUUGUGACAAUUUGCAUAUAAAAUAUAAAUAAUAAUAGUUCACUGAAGUAAAUUAUCUCUAAGAUUUUCAGCUCAUAAGCUUAAAAUAGUGUAUGAAAAGAUAGUUUUAAUAUAAGAAGAAAAAAGAUAAUAUACUAAUUCUCAAUUUUAGUAAGUAGACAGUUGUAGUAUACGGAUGUUUUGUUAAAUCUUUGUUGAUACAGAAUACAUAAUUUCCUUUUUCUGUUUGUGUGAGAAGUAAAGAUUGAACAAAAAUAUGUGAGUGCUAAACUGUCUUUAAAAAGUAGAUAACUAUAUCAAAAACAGUAAGGACCAGUGGGCACCACGCAGAACAAGCAAAUAGAAGAUAAGCUCAGCCUUUGAGUAGCAGCUUUGGUAGUAUACAAUAAUGAACUGAAAAUAGGAACACAGCAGUGUUUUCUAAGAUGACAGAUUAAACAAACAUCCCACCAGAAAGAGGUAAUCACUUAGACUAAUUUCGUCAUCCCCCAGGAUAAAAUCUUAAGUCAGUGACUUGAAAACUAUUUUGACCCAAUCCAUUGAGAAAUGCAUUUUUACAUUGCCAGCCCAGCACAAACAUAUGUAUAACUGAAGCAAGAGUUGUACUUAACAAUACUUACUUAUCCAUGUGUUAUGCACCUUGAUAUUUCGUAUUCUCUUUUACCCCUUUCUCUGUGUGUCUGUGUGUAUUCCUUUUCCCCCCCACCCACCCAAUACCCUUGAGGAAACAAUACAUUGAUUUCAUUACUUGCUAAUGUGUUGCAACCCCUUUGAGAUGUCCUACUAGUUAUGAUGAGAUGCUUCUAAUAAAAGUUACACCAGUAGAAAAUGCCAAUAUUUCAUAAGGCCAGGAUGAUGACUUAGAUAGCACUAAUAAUACAACACUUUAGGAAAGUUCAUUUCAUUUUAUUUUUAGGAAGGACACUAAGCUUCAAAAAUUUAAAUUUGAAUGAAAGAGGGUCUUAAAAAUCUAUUGCAAAAAGGACUCAGCUGAAUAAUCUGUGGCACAGGUUUAAAUCGCCUUGGACCACACCGCCAUGUUCCAGGGCUCACCAGGAGCCAUCCAGAUGAGAGACCUCCCAGCCCUUGUGACUUGACUAAGAAAUUAAAUCCAUGUUAUCAGCACGUUUUUAACUGGAUGUGAUAUAAGUUUAACAUAUUUUGUAAUCAUUUUAUUUAUAAAUAUUUUGUCUAAAUGUUAUGAUAUUCCAGGUUUUCCAAAAGAAUCAACCAAAAAGAAGUUAUAAAUAAACGUUAUAUUUGGUACGGGAGUUAAGCUAACAAAAUUUAUAACCCAGAUUUAAAUACACAAGAAAAUCAGUUUUUAAAGUUUUGUUUAAUAGAAACCAGUGUAAUACAUCAAACAUUAAACAACUAAAAAUGUAUAUGAAUAUUUAUUUUCACACACAAGGGUCCCUCAGACAUUGAUUCUUAAAUUCAAAACACCAAAGUCAUUAUAUGUACCUUUUCAUGUUUUCUAAUUGUGAAGAAAAUAAAUUUUACUUAAACUGUUAAUAUUUGAAUAAAGUAUGCAUUCAUAAUUA